CUUUUAUUUGGUUCAGCAGUGGCCACAGUAAGCCCUGCCCUGGGGCAUUAGCUGGUGCCCUUGUACGCGCACAAACCAAGCAUUUUAUUGCAUAAUCCAAAAUGAUGUAGCCUGUGGCCUGUCGGGAGGCGCUCCCUUCUUGUGGAGGAAGGAAGGUCAAGAAGGAGCUCCCGGCAGACCAGGGUUCGCUGCGCCCAGAGACCUGCCCAGAGACCUGCUGCACGCCGGGGCGCAAGGCCGAGUCAUCCCAGGCGUCCGUGGGCCGUGAUUCCCACUCACGCCGGGGGCCCAGGCAGGCAGAGAAGAGUUAAUGAGCGCGCAAGUGCAGGCGGUCACUCCUGGGCCUGAAACUCCCGCGCUGUGCAUUCAGGGCCCUCGUGGCUCUCAGAGGCGCGUCCCAGGGGCGCACACUGCACCUUGGGCUGGGCAGCUCCGCCGGGUUGUGGCGAGCGGAUGAGGGAAGGACGCAGAAACCAGGGCGGAGGAGCCGCGAGGGGCAGGACGAGGCUGCAUGGGCCAGCGAGGGGGUCGACACCGAGCCAGAGUGAGCGCGGGGCCUGGGGCGCAGAGCCCGCCCAGGGAGCCGGGAGACGCCGCGCAAGCUCCCCGGACAAACGCAAUGACCGAGGACGCGCGGGCGAGGCCGUCCAGGGAGCCCUGGUCCCUCAGCUGCACCGGACUGAGCCGCGACCGCUCAGCACGCGCUGCUUAUAAAUCAGGGGUGCGCUUCCCAAGCCCCGGGUGAGGUCCCCUACGUCGGCACAGCCUUAGGAGCUGCAAAGCAGCGCGCGCCUCCGGGGCUCCUGCGCGCCCCUUGAACCCCGCCUCCCGCAUCCUCCUGCAACAGCCUGGAGCUCCCUGUGCAGGACGCAGCGGGGGGCGGGGGGCGGUCUUAGGAGGCUGCGGGGCGCACUCCCACCUCCUGCCUCCCCGAGACCCCCAGCGCCUUCUCCAGGGUUUAGAGCGGAGGUGAAGGGGCCUCGUCCUGCACCGCCACUGGGCGCCUGGGCUGUUCAUCAUCGGUUACCGCCGAUUCAUAGGAACUCCUCAACACAUUGGCUCGGAAAUGUACAGUCAUAGGCAAUUUAUAAAACUGACAAAAAUUAUUCCGCUAAUGCCAGGAAUAACGGAGGAUAUUCAGAAAGAAAAACAGGAAUAUUUUCUUGUGUAAAUAAUAGAUAAAGAAUAAAAAAGUAAAUGAGCGUAAUCCAGCAGCAAUCCCCUUAGGGAGUAAUAAAACCCGAAAAGUCCAAUUUGCGCAGCAAGAUCCAUUAGGCAGGAAGUGAGGAAGCCAGACGCUGUCCUGCGGCCCUGAAGCGGGGAACUCACUGUGGGAGUUUGAUGCCUCAAAUCAGGAGCUGCGGAAGGAAGAAAUUUCAACGUUUCGUUAUUAUGCUUCAGUUCAGUGUGAGCAGGCUUUGUAUCCCAGUCUCUGAUCCCAAACAGAUAUCAGGAAAGGAUCAAAGCUAAAAAUAAAUGAAUGCCUGGGAAGUGCCAGAAGCAGGCAAUGCCACAUCUUUCUCAAGCUCCACAAUCACAAAGACAAGCCCUUGCAUUCUGACUGCCUAUCUGCAAGAGGACAAUGGAAAAUUAUAAAUAUAAAGUUACAUUUAAAACUAUCAGCACUGAAGAAAGGCGCACCAGGAUGUCCACUUCUCUGAGAUGGAGCUGCCGCAUUCCUCGCCGGGGUGCCCCUUAAACUGAAACACCUUAGACAUAACCACAAGCACUUCUCCCAAAGGGGAGAAGAAAACAGGCAGCCUCGGGACCUCAGAAGCUGAGGAAAAACAGAGUUGCCCCCUGACCCUGGAGCUCCCAUCCACCCAGAACAAGUGAGUCCCUGCUCUCCUGCAGCUCCCAAUCCACUUAGAACAGGCAAUGACGAUCCCUCAGGUUGGUGAAGAGCAUCUGAGAAAUCCAGGGCUGGCAUCGCAUGUGAUCAUGAGAACCCAACGCAUCCCCUCCAAGACCAAGAUUGUGGCACGGCCAUUGGUUCUCACCACUGUCCACAACUUGCUGAAAGUCCUGGCCUCUGCAAUUAGUCAAG
rnacentral:lncRNA from 1 species